rnacentral:ncRNA from 1 species
UUUCUUCCAGGACAGCUGGCAUUCAGAGAAAUAUAAAGUUUUAUCCGAUAAAUCGAAUGAUUAGAGGCAUUAGGAAUAAAACAUUCUCAACUACUGUCAAGCUUUAAAUGGAUUAGAAGCCUAGCUCGCUUAAACUGAAUUUUGUUUUGAAUGUGAGGGCCG